rnacentral:rRNA from 1 species
GACGAACGCUGGCGGCGUGCUUAACACAUGCAAGUCGAACGCUGAAGCUCAGCUUUUGUUGGGUGGAUGAGUGGCGAACGGGUGAGUAACACGUGAGUAGCCUGCCCCCUUCUUUGGGAUAACGCCCGGAAACGGGUGCUAAUACUGGAUAUUCACUGGUCUUCGCAUGGGGGUUGGUGGAAAGGGUUUUUCUGGUGGGGGAUGGGCUCGCGGCCUAUCAGCUUGUUGGUGGGGUGAUGGCCUACCAAGGCUUUGACGGGUAGCCGGCCUGAGAGGGUGACCGGUCACAUUGGGACUGAGAUACGGCCCAGACUCCUACGGGAGGCAGCAGUGGGGAAUAUUGCACAAUGGGCGCAAGCCUGAUGCAGCGACGCCGCGUGAGGGAUGGAGGCCUUCGGGUUGUGAACCUCUUUCGCUCAUGGUCAAGCCGCAACAAUGGUUGUGGUGAGGGUAGUGGGUAAAGAAGCGCCGGCUAACUACGUG